AACUGCGGUGUCUGUGACCUUCUCAUCGAAAAAAUCAGCAAAGUCAUCAGCAGCGAAGGAGGACUGAGGUGGAGGAGGCGGUGCGUUGAGGAGAGAGGAGAAAAUAGAGAACAGUUUCCGGGGGUUAGAAGUGGAGUUCUGAAUUUGUGUAUUUUGCUUUGGCGGCAGUGACAGCGGAAAAGAAUGCUGCCAGGAGAGACUGGUAAGUUGUGAGGUCUGAAGGGUCUCUGGAUUUUCCCCACUUCCUCUCUGCUGCGCGGAGGCUGGCCCUGGAGGUACGGAGGGUGUCAGAUAUCCAAGGACUGGGGGGGAUGUGCAAGGUAGCUUUGAGACAGGGGGACAGAGAGAGACAAAGGCAGAGGAGAGAGAUGAAAGGAGGGUGGCAGAGCCUGCCUUGUGGGUUGGAGGAGAGCGUUGCAAGGAGAGGCCGAAGGAGUGGAGUAGCGGUAGGAAGGCAGCAGCCUGGGAGGCUUCAAGGUGGAUGUUGAAGUCUCCAAGGAGAAUCAGUGGGGUGCCAUCCUCAGGGAAGGAGCUGAGAAGGGUGUCUAGCUCAUGAAGGAAGCUUCCCAGGGGCCCUGGAGGACGAUAGAUAACUGCAAUAAAAUGGUGGAAAAUACUGAGGCAACCCGGAGAAUCUUGAAUGACCCAGCCUCCUAUACAGAUAGCUUCAGCAGGGAUUGCAAGGCUUUGUGGGCCUGUUGGGGAAAGAUCCCAUGAAACGACUUGGGUUCAAAAACGAUAGCUGUGAUGAGUUGAGGAACCACCCCUUCUUUAAAGAUCUCAACUGGGGCCGACUAGAAGCAGGUGGGGAGAACUACUGUAUCAUUACACACUGUUAUUGUUUUUGUAAACCAGGUGACAGUAAAGACGAGGGAGAUUUUUAUGCUUUUUAAAGUAAUCAAUUCUAAGCUGAUUGAAAUAAAACAUAAUCAAUUUAUUUUGCUAUGUGCAUUUUCUGAGUGCAAUCCACUUCGAGGUUCGACACAUUGUGUGUUCAGAGAUCCUUUUCUGCAUACCACUGUUGUAAUGUGUGGUUAUUUGCAUUACUGUCCCUUUCCUGACAAGUUUUUGUUUGUUGAAAGAGGUCUAACAGAUGUGUAUAAAGCAUGGCUACAAUCUUCCUCAUAUUGGCUGCCAUUUAAUCAAUUAACUGUCCUUAGUAUUGCUUUUUAAAGCCAAAACCUCAAACCUUUAGGUUAAUCUUACACAUUUUCAUCUUUGACCAAUAUAAAUAAAUAUAUUAUGUUCGUUCAAUGUUUCUUUCUUUGAUUGUAAAUUGUGCUUCGUAUAUGAACACAUGCAGUAUUUAAUGUGCAGAAAGAAGACAUGUUUAGAGCUUCUGAAAUAAUGUUGUGUAAUGGCAGGCUUCCCAUUGUCAGAAUACAUUGCCUGUUGUUGUAGUACAGAUAUGAUAGGACUGAAAUUUCAAUGUGUACAGUAAGCUACUUGUGUGUAUGUGACAGAAUUGUACAUGUUGUAAACUUAGGCUUUAUUCAAUAAAUAAUGGAAUCCCAAA